rnacentral:rRNA from 1 species
UACGAAGGGGGCUAGCGUUGCUCGGAAUCACUGGGCGUAAAGGGCGCGUAGGCGGCCAUUCAAGUCGGAGGUGAAAGCCCAGGGCUCAACCCUGGAAUUGCCUUCGAUACUGUUUGGCUAGAGACCGGAAGAGGUAAGUGGAACUGCGAGUGUAGAGGUGAAAUUCGUAGAUAUUCGCAAGAACACCAGUGGCGAAGGCGGCUUACUGGUCCGGUACUGACGCUGAGGCGCGAAAGCGUGGGGAGCAAACAGG